CCGCGGGCGCCUGGAGCGGCAGGACAGGGGGCAGGGCUUGGGGCACGGGACGCCUGGAGCAGCCUGACGGGAGGCGGGGCCUGGAGCGGAUGGGGGCGGAGUCUAACCCAGAGGACGCCUGGAGCAGCCGGGUUCGAUGUGCUAGCAAGGAUGUGUCCCUACACAGAGAAUAACCAGGACCACAGACCCAGAGCUGCUCCUGUUGACUUGGACAUGCAUCCCCUCUGCUUCACUCCAGCCUGACUCCGAGGAAUAGUGGGCAAGAAGAGAGGAAGAAUUAGAGUUCAAACACACUCAAAAAUCUGUUCCUUGUGGAUUUGACUUUAGUGUGAAAGCAAAAUGGAAAAAGAUUUAGAAGAAAAUGUAGCAAAACAUCUUUAUGACAUUAGAGGAGUGAAGGAUUUCUCAAGAAGACACACAAAGCAUAGCCAUAAAAAUGUCCAAAUUUGUCUGUAAUUAAUAAUAUAAUGUCUUUCAAUUAUUAUUAAUUAAUAACAUCUUUCAAAGCAAAACACAAGCUAUAGAACAAGGGAAAUUGUAAUUAAUUAAACACAUACCAUCAAGCCUCGCUUAACAGCACAGAUACAUUCUAAGAAAGCGCCAUUAAGUGAUUUCCUCAUUUCAGCAUCUUAGAGUGCACCUCCACAAACUUGGAUGGUACAGCCUAUCACACACCCAAGGCUAGAUGGUGAAGCUUGUUGCUCCUAGGCUACAAACCUGUACAACAUGUUCCCAUACAGAAUACUGCAGGCAAUUGUGACAUAACAUAGUAAGCAUUUGCAUAUUUAACAUACCUAAACAUAGGAAAGGUACAGUCAAAAUAUAUGAAUAGUAUUAUCAUCUCAUGGGACCACUAUUGUGUAUGCAGCCUGUCAUUGACCACGUGGUUGUAUGAAGGGUGUGACUGUAAAGCAUUUGUAUUCGGCAUAUAAAAAGAACUUCUACGAAUCAAGAAGAGAGAGAUGAACAACAGGGGCAAAGGAUAUUGACAAGCAAUUUACUGGAAAGAAACAUAAAUGUCCAAUAAGCAAGAUGCUCAGAAAUCAGUAGUUUCUCUGCCCUACUGAAUGGAUUAGUCCCCUCUCCAGGCAAACCUGCUGUGACACAGUGGUUCUCUAACUUAAAACAAGCGCAUGCUCUCAUCACAACCCUUUCUAGCUCCUGCCCAUCUCUCCUCUGCCCUUUCAAAGAAUUGUCUGCAGCCAUUGUCUCCUAAGCCCUCCUCAACCCUUUCCAACUGGACAUCAAUCCCCAGCACUCCCAGGGAUAGCCGGUGAAAUUCAUCACAGUCCUUCAAAUCUGCCAAACCAAAUAGCCUCCCCUCAAACAUCUCAGUGGAAAGAUAUGACCUGAACUCUGGCCUAAGUUGUCUUCUGCAGAGCCAUCCUGCUUUGCUUUCUUCCCAGCACAUACCUCUGAGAUGAUCCCAUUUCUCACUAACCAUCCUGGCCCUCUUGGAUGGAUGGCCCAGAGAAACAAGGCCUCCUUCACAGCGGAUGCUCAGAAUUUAACUAAAUGAUUUAACGACUAAAUUUAGGUAAAACUAAAUUUACAGUAGAGUUGUGUCUUCAGGGAUUGGGUGACAAAUUCGAAUCAUUUGCUGCUUGUAUCCCAGUCAAAACUGCCCUUGUGUCUGAGGAGCGUGAACCAGAGAAACUCCACCUUGAAUAGGGACUGGGUAAAAUGAGGCUGAGACCUACUGGGCUGUGUUCCCAGACGGUUAAAGCAUUUCAAGUCACAGGAUGAUACAGCAGGUCGGCACAAGAUGCAGGUCAUGAAGACCACGCUGAUAGAACAGGUUGCAGUAAAGAAGCCAGCCGAAACCCACC